AUUCCCACCAAAUCCCACUCCAUUUUUCGUUUAAAAUUUUCAUUCCCUCCAUUAGAAACCUCCAACUAUCUCACACAAUGUGCCUCUAUCUCGUAUUAUUCGAUCAGCGGAAAACCAGCACACGGAAGCCUUUCAAUCUCCAUGCUCUCAUCAAAUGUUCAUCUCCCUUGUUAUCUUGGAGAUUCAUUCCCAACUGAUGGAAAAAAAACAGAAAGCGAAGAGAUUGUUGCUGACAAGCAUAUGAUGAAAAAAGAUUAUGCCUUUUAAAGGUUUAAAGCCUGUGAAAAGUCGUUUGGGGUGGUGAAUUGGCUCGUCAUCUUCUAUUAUUCGAGCGCUUUUGGGCAGUUCUCUACGGGCAAUGAUCAGGAAAAAGGUCAUUACAUCCAGGGUUUGGAGCUCAUUGAUUCAUUUAUAGAUGCAUCCAAGAUUUGUAGAAGGAAUGGCUCCACUUUUCUUUAGGGCUUCAUUUGUGGCUGGCAUCUUAUUCAGGGAAAAUUCAAUUUGUUGCGAACAGAUAGAGUUUUCAUGGGAUAUGUGGAUCAUCGACUACAUCGCCAAUGGACACGUACCAGAGGUGAGUUGAGCGGCAAUACGUAAGGAUAUCCACGUUUCUUUUUCUUUGCGUAUUGCGAUCCAUAAUCAUCAUCAGACCAAGACAACAACUUAGCCACACUCAACACUCAGGCAAAUAUUAUUCAACAUAAAGAGGAGGCAGUUGCAAAGUUAAUUUUUUAAUGGGACAACGAUAACUACUACUAUGGAUCACGAGCUCGAAAAGGAGGCAAUUGAAAGUGUAUGUGCCAAGAAAAAGAUUUUUGGAUGACAUCGGAAGCUGGAUCGUAUCAACCAUCCUCAAGCGAGACGGAAGCACUUCGAAAUCAGGUGGCUUUACUAGAAGAGAAAUUGAAACAAAGCAAUGAGAACUCGGAAAAAAAUGUUGAUGUUCAUGAGCUCAAAGUUUCCGGAUUUUGAGAGCUCAAUAUCCGCACAUGUGAGUGGUGGAGCAAAUGAUUUGGAUGGGCAACUCAAUGUUAAUGAUAGUUUGAUCUAGGAUGUGAAUUAGUUAAACUUACUUUGUUGGUGUUUGUUUGAUUACUGUUUUGAAGUUUAGGAUUGAUUUACUAAGUAUUUUUACUUAUACGUUGACUAUUUUAAAGUUUAGAAUUAACAUGCUACAAUGUUAUGGAUUAAA